ACCAACAGACCUCCCAUUCAAGCGUCUGACCAGUAGAGAGGCACUUUAACGACGGCGUGCUCUCCGUAGACCCCUCCCACAGGGGGAGCUUCCUCUGAAACCAAACACCGGACAGCUGCAGCAGGUGGUACCUGUGCCAAGUGACAAAACCGGGCCCCUCGUGUGAGAAGUCCACUCCCCCGAAACUGGCCUGCCCCGCACCCAGGAACGUCUUGCUGACCGAGAAGUAGUGGGACCACACGAAGUAGUUGUAGAUGGUGACGUUCUGGAACUGCACGGUGUUCCCGUCGGGCCCGAAGAUCUCCUGAUAGCGCCGCGUGGCGAUCACCAGGUCGGGGUGCACCAUGCGCUUGGCCUGGUCCAGCGCGUUCACGAACGCACGCUUCUCGUCCGCGCUGAGCUGCAUCACGUUUCUCCUCACUGUGAGGGGGAUUACAGCCGAGGGAGAGUGGAUUAACUCAAUUAGUCAUGCGUUAAUUGGGGAUCAGUUUUUAAUGAGUGAGAAAAGAAGUACAGAAAAUGUGCGUAACCGGCAGUUUUGGUCAAUUAAUUCUGUAAUCAAAUGCCCUUUCUGUGAGUCUCAGGGUUGUUUAAAUCCAUUCCAGCUCGUAUCACGGGAGACUAAUUUGAAUUAAUGUUGGUAAAAUAAUCUGAAGAAUUAAUUAUAAUAAGAUAAUCUUCCGAUAGAAUUUGUUAAAGCGACAUUAAAAAUGGGCAAAAUCCGUUCAUUUGGCUCACUGUGGAUUCCUAAACUAGUGCUUAAGUGAGCAACAGCACAGCAUCCCUAGCUGUGACCUUUCCCAUCUCCUUAGCGUUAGAGUCAGCAUUCUAUAGCAUCAGCAGUUCAUUAUUUCCCCAGACUUACCGACAGGAACUCUCUGGUCACAGUUUGCCCCCGUCCAUCCGUGUCUGCAGCGUCCGCAGUUAUAACCGCUGAAGUUUCCGUUACACUGACAGGUACGGUUGAAGUAACGGACGGGCCAUCGCUCACGAUCAUCCCGUCCGUCGUGCGGGUACUGAGGGCCGUGCGGGCGAGC